GACGAACGCUGGCGGCGUGCCUAAUACAUGCAAGUAGGACGCAGUUGCGAACGGGUGAGUAACGCGUAGGUAACUACCUAUUAGAGGGGGAUAACUAUUGGAAACGAUAGCUAAUACCGCAUACUAGUAGAUGGACCUGCGUUGUAUUAGCUAGUAGGUAGGGUAAUGGCCUACCUAGGCAACGAUAACUAGCCGACCUGAGCGGGGGAUCCGGUACACUGGAAGCGAGGCAAGGCCCCAACUCCUUACGGAGGGAGCAGGAGGGAAUCUUCGGCAAUUGGGGGAACCCUGAACGAGCAACGCCGCUUGAGGGAAGAAGGUUUUCGGGUCGUAAAGCUCUGUUGUUAAGGAAGCGGUACUUAACCAGAAAGGGACGGCUAACUACGUGCCAGCAGCCGCGGUAAUUC
rnacentral:rRNA from 1 species